rnacentral:misc_RNA from 1 species
ACACAUUUAUAGAAGAAAAAUUCAAGUGAGAAAAAUUACAUCACCCAAAACUCUCAUAGGCUUCAUCUUUCCUCCUUCGGUGUUGUUUCCUAAAGGGGAGAUCGUCUCUUGCCUCCAUUUUGUUUUGCUCCUCUUCUCCCUCCCUCGAUACUUUAUGAUCAGACCCCUCACAGCUUCACAUUUAAUUCCACCUCCUUUGAUUCCAUCCUUCACAGCACAAAAAAAUCAUUCACAUCAUACUCAUAGACAUAGCUAGUUGCUCAUCUCCCAUCUCCCAUCUCCACGCCCUUGUGUACAACCAUCAUCCAACUCACAUAUAGAUCGUUCCUUCACAUUAACAAACCAUACGCGAGCAGGCGUGCCUUGAGUCUUCACUCCUCAGUAAACUCCCAUAGGCUUCAUCUUUCCUCCCUCGGUGUCAUUUCUUAAUGGAAAGAUCGUCUCUCGCCUCUAUUUUGUUAUGCCCUCUUCUCCUUCUCUCGAUACUUUAUGAUUAGACCCCUCACAGCUUCACAAUUAAUUCCACCUCCUUUGAUGCCAUCCUUCACAACACAAAAAAACCGUUUCUUGUCACACUCAUAGAUGUAUCUAGCUGACUUGUGUCCAGGCUCAUCUCCCAUCUCCAUGCCCUUGUGUAGAACCAUCACCUAACUCACAUAUAAACUGUUCCUUCAUAUUAACAUACCAUACGUGAGCAGACGCGCCUUUGAGUCUUCAAUCCUUAGUACACAACACCAUCUUUUGUUCCCUUGCUUCAUAAAACCAAAACACAUUGUACCCAAAAAAUCAUCCCUUACACUCCACUUCAAUGGCAAAAACCUCAAUUUCCUUCCCCUCUUCUAACAGCUUACUUGAUUGCCUCCCAUUUCCAUCUCAUCUUUCACCCAUUUUUGGCACCAGGCAGUACCACUAACUCCAUUAGACCCAUUGCGUGAAAAAGGCAGUUUGCACAAACUAACAAUCGAAUUGAAUCAAAUUGAUUCGGUUUAGUAUGAUUCAAUUUCUCUAGCAAUUCAGUUCAUUUUGAUUCCUUAAAAAUAAAUUUUUGAUUUUCGACUUUUCUGUUUGGUUCAAGUUUUAACAUAUUCAAUUUCUCUAGCACUACCACCAGUAUUAUCAAGGCAAAAGGCGAUACUAAGGCGAUAGGGUACCUUAUGGCCUUAUGCGAGAGGCGAGGCGAGAGC